rnacentral:tRNA from 1 species
GUACCUGUAGCUCAGUGGAUUAGAGCGAUUGUCUACGGAACAAUAGGUCGGGGGUUCGAAUCCCUCCAGGUACG